rnacentral:lncRNA from 1 species
CCCCUGCCUAAUCAUGACAAGACUGUCAAUGCUGUGGAAGAUGCUGAUAACGAUUGUGACUGGGAUAGCUGGAUUUUCCCAACAAUUGGUGACGGACUCAAUAAUUGGAAGGCUGAAGACACUAUCCCGAUUUCCUUUAGUCAGGAGUAAUUGUUAUUGCCUAUUUUAGUGUUGCAACUUUUUAGUUUUUACAAUUGAACUUCUUAAAGCAUUGUGUCUAUGCCCGGGACACAAUAGCUAAUUUGUUAAGGGUUUUGUCAUUUCAUAAGCAUAUUCAUAUUCAAUAAAUCAAUGGGCUUUUUGCAUUCAAA